ensembl:lncRNA
GACUUCACCCUUGACACAAACAGCUUGGUUGAGAAGCACAAGAGUGUGUCACUGCAUCUGAAAUUCCUUAAUACAGAGGAAAAAAAGUUGAAGACACAACUAAUCCGUGACCUGCUUGACAAAAAGAAACAGAUCUACUUCACUCUACCUGACUCGAUCAAGGACUCUAUGCAUGUAUCCUAUACAAAUGCAUCAAUGCAUACAGGAAAAGGUUCUCUGCAAAGGAUGAAAGAUGAGCUACAUCUGAACAUAAAGAAAGCAAAUAUUUUCCGGAAGGCCAAGAAAGAUAUGAUGGAUGGUUUAACUAAACUGAAGGAUCACAUGGUGAUGCAGCUGAAGUAUAAACUAGAAGAAUCAAUCAGGAUGUCACUCCAUACUCCCAAC